UCAAAAACAUCGCCUCUUGCAACACAACAUAUAAGAGGUCCCGCCUGCCCUGUGACACCCCAGUUUAACGGCCGCGGUAUCCUGACCGUGCAAAGGUAGCGCAAUCACUUGUCUUUUAAAUGAAGACCUGUAUGAAUGGCAUAACGAAGGCUUAACUGUCUCCUUUCUCUAGUCAAUGAAAUUGAUCUCCCCGUGCAGAAGCGGGGAUAAUCCCAUAAGACGAGAAGACCCUGUGGAGCUUUAGACACAAAGCAGAUCUGGCAAACCCACACCCCCCCAAGCUAAAAGAACCCUGCUCUAAUGUCUUCGGUUGGGGCGACCACGGGGAAACAAACAACCCCCACGCAGAAUAAGAGAACACCCUCUUAAAAACGAGAGCCACCACUCCAAAAAACAGAACUUCUGACUACAAGAUCCGGAAACACCGAUCAACGAACCAAGUUACCCCAGGGAUAACAGCGCAAUCCUCUUCAAGAGCCCAUAUCGACAAGAGGGUUUACGACCUCGAUGUUGGAUCAGGACAUCCUAAUGGUGCAGCCGCUAUAAGG
rnacentral:rRNA from 1 species